UUGUCUCUGGGCAAGGACUGACCUGUCUCCCAAGGCCUGUGAGAGUGAGAGAUCAUUUUCCAGGCUAGGUUAUAGAUCCCUGUUGAUGCGCUGGAGGGGUUGUAGCUGGGGGCUGUAUGUGAUGGCCAGUGGAGACCAGUUAUUUUCCUUGUUGGGCCUGUCCUGUAGUAGGUGACUUCUGGGUACUCGUCUCAUUCUAGAAGUAGCUGCAAUUUUCCCUCUCUUGGUAUUGACACCUCCUCAUCAACUAUUGGGAGUGGACCACAUCCACCCUGACUGAACCGGCCCUGUCAACACUGGUUCUCCACUUGUAAGGUAACUCCUUUCUCUCCAUGUCGGCAGCUACAGUGCUUGCAUGGUCUGAGUUUCAGAGCAUUGCAAUUGGUUCAUGUAUGCAAAACUAAAUCCUAAUAUUUUAAAGCACAGUGUCCUUGAUGCACCGAUUUUAUGCUGUCUCAAAAGGAGAAUGUAUUUCCAAGUUAACCUACAGCUCGGCUGUAUGCAAUGUCCGUUAUAUGCCAAUAUUUUGCAGUGGAGUCAAUUCUAAACUACUAUUACACCUCAGCAAGUUCCCAGGAACUCCAGGCAGAAAACGCUGCUGCUGCUUGUGAAACCAGUGUUACUUUACAGCACAAAGGAAGAAGCAGUUACUGCAAAACAUGAACAGGAGCUAAACACUAGUGCAUCUCCUUUGUGCUGCACAUAGGGACAAGACACAUACCUUGUGCAUUCUAGGGGAGACUUUCAAAGGCAAAAGAGAGUUAGGCACCCAACUUCAUUCAAAAUCCCAGGGAAUUGGAUGUGUAACUCCCAUUUGUGCCUUGGGAAACCUUCCCCUGUCCUCUUCUGAGGGCAAUUAUGACGACGCCAACAGGUAAAGCAGCCUCAAGUGUUUAUAAUGAACCUUCUGCUUUUAUUUUCAGGGCAUUGCUAAAUUUAAAUUUGUUUAAGAGAAAAUGAAAGUGUCAUUUUGCAACUUAAAGUGGAUGACAUUACGGAAAAGCCAAUGAAGUCGGAGUAGUGUUAACCUCACAGAAAUACAGUCCAGGUAGCUGCAAUAGGUAGAAUAGCUCAGUCUUACAUAUUGCUGCACAAAUGGAUGGCGGA